GUGGGAACUCCAAAAUGAUGCAGGAAAAUAAAAACUCCCAACCUGAGUGAUAUCUGGGCCGAGCUGGUGUUCUCUAAAAUUGAGGAAUGACUUUAGGAACAACGGAGGUUAAGAGCAGAAUGUAUUUAUUAGGGGAAAGAAAAGAAAGCUUCUGUCCAACAGAGGGACAGAAGGGGGGCCUGGGUGUGUUACCCCUGUUUCUUUAUCACAUCACAGCACUGCACAGAUUUUCCAGACUUUCAGCCCCUGUCAAGGUCUAAUUCAUUCAUCUAUGAAUAUUGAUAAGGCCCUCCCACAGCAGAGCAAAGCAGACUAGAAGAUGCCUACUCCUUUAGCGUGGAGGCUUUGAUCUCGUUCCUUGGUGGCAAAGGGUUCAGGAUGUGUUCUGUCUGUUGGGUCUGAGGCCUACGGGUCACCAGGCUCACCCCAGCUGGGCUUCUCUCUCUCCAACCCAGAAAGAGGAAGAACAGUCAGAACAGAAGACCAGGGGCUGGGGAUUUAGCUCAGCAGCACAGCGCCUGCCUGGCAAGCGCAAGGUCGUUAGUUCGUUUCCUGGUACCGGAGAAAAACCAAAACCAAAACCAAAUAAACAAAAAGAACAGAAGACCAAAUGCCAGCACUUGGGAGGCUGAGGCAGGAGGAUCGCCAUAAGUUCGAGGCCAGCCUGAAGUAUGUAGCAAGACCCUGUCUCAAAAAAGAGAAGGAGGCCAGUCCAAAGCAAACAUAAUUUUCUUGUGGGUGGCGUAAGAGGAAGAGGUCCAGAGCACUCUGGAGGGGUGGGGCUGCGGAGCUGGGCACGGCUCGAUCUGGGGCCACGUCCUGUUUCAUGGGGCGAGGGCUCCGCCUCCACCCGUGAGGGUCCACGGUUGGUUGAUCGGCAGUGGGGCUUGUGCCGGGGGUCCGGUCUUGUGGGCUGCUGGGGGAUGUGGGGAGGCUCGGCAGGCGCUGUGCUAGGAGGGACGGCGCUCCUCUGCGCAGGCCGGAGUCAAAGCCACACCUGUCAGCUGUGACCACAGAACUGCCUGAAAGCUGCUUGCUGCAACGAUGUGGAUGCCAGGCCAGGGGCCAUGCUGGGUUGAUUUCACCUCUGAGAUCAUCUGUGAGUCGAAGCUGCAGUCCGAAGUUGCACGGAUGGUGUCCUGAGCCUUGGAACGGAGAUCGCGCCUGUCUGCGGUUCAGUUUUCCCAAGGAGGUGGGCUUUUCCCCAUCUCCCACGGGCGCCCUCCUCCACCCGUCACCCCAGCGCUCCUCUGGACCUGUGCCAGAUUCUGCAAGUUCCCCUACAAAAGCAGCUUCUUCAAGUGGUGCUUCCUCCCCUGCCUGCAGCAGAAUAAACUGUUUUCUGAGGUCUGUCUGUUGUGUCUGGACUCUGACCGCCGCCCUCAAUGGCCCGAGGGGGUUUUCAGAAGCUCUCUGCGGAGCAUCUCACUGGUGUCCGCCAAAUGGAUCCUUCAGGGUCAGGGACACAGGGCUGAGCAAAACACGUGUAUGUUUCCGUGAAAAACUCGCGGUCGGGGCUGGGGCUGUAGCUCAGUGGUAGAGCACUCGCCUAGCAUGUACGAGGCCCUGAGCUUCAUCCUCAGUACCAAAACAAAACUCCCAGCUGGGGCUGGCUGUGAUAGUGCACCCCUGUAAUCCCAGCACUGGGUUAAUCAAUCUUUUUUUUUUUUUGUACCAGGAAUCAAACUUAGGACCUUGCGCUUGCCAAAUAGGUGCUUGUGGCGCUGAUCUCCUUUCUAGCCCAAUCCCAGCACUCAGAAGGCUGAGGCAGGAGGAUCUCUGAGUUUGAGGCUCUGUCUCAAAAAAAAAAAAAAGUCAGCGCACUGUGCAGAGACCACAUACCCACGUUAAUGACACACAGUAUAUCAUAUGGCCAAGACGUGGGCCCAGCCACUGACCACCAACAGAUGAAUCUAAAGAAAAUGUGCUACGGGCUGGGGAUGUAGCUCAGUGGCAUAAGCGCCUGCCUGGCAAGUGCAAGGUCGUAAGUUCGAUCCUCCGUACUGCAAAAAAAAACACAAAAAAGUGCUACAACGUAUACUAUACACAGUGGAGUAUUAUUCACCAUACAAUUAAUGAGUAUUGUGAUUUGCAAGAAAGUGGACGGGACUGGAGAUCGUCACGCUUAGCACCAUCUGCCAGACCCAGAAGGAUAGUGUGUCACUGCUCUCCCUGAUGUGUGGACCCUAAAAAGACAACAGGAAGUAGAGAGGAGCUUAUUACUCGACGAGGGAGGAGAGGGGUGUAAAGGGUAACGGGGACAUAGAUGAUCAGAUACAUGACACCCACUGAAUCUCCUGAGCUGGGCGUGGUGGUGCACGCCUGUCAUCCCAGCGCUCGGGAGGCUGAGGCAGGAGGGUGGCCGCGAGUCUGAAGCCAGCUUGGGCUACAUGGUGAGACUGUCUCAAAAAAGAAAAGAGGCUGAGGAUGUGGCUCAGUGGUGGAGCCCUUGCCCUGCUUGCGCAAGGCCCUGGGUUCGAUCCCCCCACCAAAGAAAACCCUCCCAAGAUGUGAAAGUAGUAGCAAUGAUUUAAGUAUGUUCUGUGCACGUACAACUCUGCCAUUCUGAAGCACAGUAACAUGUAUAACCCGCACGCAGGAAUACGUCAGACAGAGGGGAGUGUUUCCAGGCUGGUCCUUGCACUCCCAGUCUGCGGUGUCACUCUCGCGCCUUGAGCCUUGAUGAAGCUACAUAAUGUUUCCAGACCACAAGACCAGGAAUCUGAUCACGGAGGCUGUGGCUGGGGACCUGGGGACUCAGGGGAGCAACACGUACAGCACAUGGCAGGGACAGGCGGGAAAGGGACCCUGGCUUCCCAGACCAGCCGUGAGACCCCGACCCCACUCAGGGAACAGUUAAAAUUUAUGAACCAGGGGGCUGGGGAUUUAGCUCAGCAGCACGCCUGCCUGGCAAGUGCGAGGUCGUGAGUUCAAUUCCCGGUACUGGAAAAAAAACAAAACCCAAAAAACUUAUGAACCAAGAGCCGGGCAUGGUGGUGCAGGCCUGUAAUCCCAGCACUCAGGAGGCUGAGGCAGGAGGGCCAUUCUGAGUUCCACACUAGUCUAGGCUACAAAGUGAGCUCAAGGCCAGACCACUGCAUACAUAGCGAGACCCUGUCACAAAAAGACAAUCAAUCAAUCAAUCAAUCCCUUAUGAGCCAGGCGUGGUGGUGCACACCGCGGUCCCAGCACUGAGGAGGCUGAGGCAGGAGGAUCGCCUCCAGUUCAAGGCCAGCCUGGGCUCCAUAGGGAGACUUUAUCUCAAAAAGCCAAAGCCAAAACCAAACCAAAAUAAAGCAUACGCAUUGCUGAUAUCUGGAAUUUUCCACUUAGUAUUCUCAGACUAUAGUUAACCACGGGUACCCGAAACCUCAGAAGGCCAAACUGUGGCUGGGGGUGGCUACUGCGUUCAUCUGUCAUUGGGAGACUGCGUGCAGAUUAUAAAUAGUUUGUCAGAUACGCGCUCGGUUAAGCGAGGGCCGUGAAGUCCCCUCUCCCCGGGGUCCCAGUUGCCGGUACAUCUUCCCUCCUGCCUCUGCGGAUUUACUGCGUGUCUCUGCAGAAAUAGCCGUUGCAUAAUAGCCGUCCUUCUGUGUCGUUCCAGAAAUACCCGCCUGUUUGUAUACGCACAGAGCGUGUGUGCUUCCCUCGCUGCAAACACGGAUGGUGGUGUUCUGUGUUCGUGUCACUGCGUCAUGCCACGCACGUGUGGAUCUAACACUCAGCAGAUAAUGUAUCUCUGUGUGUACCAUAAGGAGUCCAGCUUCCGAGCAAGAAGUUCCUCUCCCUAUCACACACUUCAUGUGUUGCCUUUUUUCAAAGGCCACCAGGGACCAGGCGAGGUGGUGCAGACCUGUAAUCCCAGCACUUGGGAGGCUGAGGCAGAAGGUUGACCAGGAGUUCGAGGUCAGCCUGACUGCCUAGUGAGUUCAAGGCCAGUUUGAACUACACAG
rnacentral:lncRNA from 1 species